UCCGUGUCCAUUUUUGCGUGAGACUGAGCUGAUCAUUUCCUGCCUGUAAACGAAAGUGAAAUUAAGUGUCGGGAUUUUAAAGGCAGAGUCGCCAUUUUAUCAAGAAACAUUUUAUCAAUAUUCUGGAAUAAUGUAAAGAUAUUCUAUGUUUCAAGAGGCCCCAGCAGGAAUCAUCUGGUCUGGAUCAGCAUAGAAAUGGAUGGAUCUGCUUCUGAAAUGCGCCCCCCUGUGGGGUGUAACAGAAAGAGCCCUGAGAGUGUCCUGAUGGAGAGAGCAGACUCCCCUGUACCCAGCUGUGUUUCCCUGAAGAGUGACGCGUCAAUGGCAAAACCACUCAACUUCAGAGAGGGACCUUU